GCGGCGACACACGCACACACACUUUCUCUCUCCCCACUCUCUCACAUGCUCCUGUGGACUCUUAUCAAGGGGGAUUUAAUGCACAUGCAACCAGCGCAAAGGACUCUCUAAAACGCUCCCGGAGAGAGCCUUCUUUCUCCCUGCGUGCCACAGAUGUUUUUCUAAGUUGCUCCCGCAGACAAGAAUCUACUCGCAAGAUGAAAGCCACGCUCUCCCCUAGGAGAGGAGUACAAAGGCCAGUCUGCACGUGGCAGAUGCAAAACCAAGUCCAUCUGCCAUGGGCUUCCCUCCGCCACAAGGCUUUGGGUGGCCACAAUUGGACAGCAGCAGCUCCUGAAUGUGAACAGAGGAAAGUAUCGGGCUGUCGUUGGGGAAUGAGAGGGUUGACUUGUGCGGUGGCAACGCUGAUGUAGCGUUCUGUCUCCAAUGAUGGCAUAAUUUCCAUGGCAACCCAUCUAACUAUUAAUUUUCAAUUAAAGCAAAAACAGAAUGCCCUGCCCCGAGCCUGCAUAAGGUGUCAAGAGCCUGUCUAUGAAACCUGCACUCUUUCUCAAGGGGGAACGGAGCCUUUAUGGAACCAUGUUGACACUGCUGGUUCAAAGUAGCAUAAUCACAACACUGAAUACCCUAAGUAGGCCCUGCUUUCUAUCACAAUCAACACCAAAUACACCAUUCAUCCCCAGCUGAAACACAAGCUUGCUAAAGACAGACUGAUAUAAUGGGCAGGCCAAUAAAUCUUGUCAGUUCCCCCCAGUGUCAGUUCCAAAUUCUGCUAAUAGUGAAGUGGAUACACCUUUUUCCUGGGGGUCUUACUGGGGAAACUAAUGUGGGUGCAACAUCCGCUGGAAGCCAUUCUAUAGCAUUCGCUAGCUCUGGAUGCAGUCAUUGUAGACUCUGUUUAAAGCUGGUAUUAAGAUGCGUUUCGGAUGAUCUCAUCGCAAAUGGUCAGUGCAAUAUAUACAGUUGUAGACGGGGUGCAAAACGUUUUGUGAUUGGAUCACAAAAAACACAUACAGAGGUAGUCAAAAAAAAAAAAAAAAAAAAGCAUGUGGCCACAUCACAUUUAAACACUGUCCUGAUGCGUCCCUGAUGGCAGCGAAGCACCACCUCUCACCUGGCAGUCACCCGCCAAACAAAAGUUUUACUUACGUGCAAAUUUAGAAAGAAAUUAUCGUCUGAUCGGACAACUUGAAAAAACAAUUACAUACCCAAGGACGAAAACUUCAAGGCUCUUCCUGAGUGUGUCUGUCUGAUAUCAACAUGUCGGGUGACAAGAUGACAAGCACACACAUCUGAAGCUGAACUAACAGAGGUAGGCUACUCCACUAAAACAACGGAUAAUUUUGCUCGAAAUGUUGCGUUUGUGCUUAGUUUAAAUUGCAACUGCAUCUGGGAGAAUCAGCGCACCGGUUUUUUCGUGCUUUCUUUGUCUUUAUGACUUUUAUGCAGUUUAUUAUCAUACAAUAGCACACUGACAUAGUGAUUGAUGUCAUAAUGAAAUCAGACAUCUCCUCAAAACCCCAACACCGCAAUGAAAGAAUGA